CAGAAAUACAAUUCUUCUAUUUAGAAGAUAUUCACUAUCACACAACUUUUUCGUUCUGGAUGCCAAUUGGGAGCAACCUAAAAUAUAUUUCAAGGCGCACAUAUCAACAAGAUUAUUGAGUGAGGACGAAAUAUCCGAUCUCGAAACAUUUUUUUCACUGGAUAAUAACGACUUCAUUAGACUAAAAUAAAAAACCGCACAAGUAAAAGCUAUACUGAAUCUUCAAAAAAAAUAUCAAGACGGCCUUUAUAGAGAAGAAAUUAUUGAAGAGGUUUACAUCAACGGUGAACCGGACACUGCUCAUGCAACACAUCAAACUACAAGCAUAUCUGCAAUCGCAUCAGUUGACAAGCCAAAGUUAUAUAAAUCUAUAAUUUUAGACAAGACUGUGGAUAUAAACAAGAUCUUUGGCCUUACUUACUGAAGGUAUUGCAGUCAUGGAGAAAUUUAAAUUUGCCACAGCAAUUACUGAUAAGCUUAUUACAAAAA